rnacentral:lncRNA from 1 species
GGAUGAAUGAAGGAGUGACAAAACAAAUGGGCGUAAGCAUCACAAUGACUACUUUUUGGCUGAAGUUGACAAGAAUUUCAGGACCAUCCACAAGAUUUUCUGCCUGUUAGGUCAGAGGGCAAUGGAAAACACUUGGCUUUGCUUGUCUUGUGGAGAAAGGAACAUAAUAAGGAGAAGGAGCACAAUCAGAUACAAAGCAAUCACUGUGUUUGGAUGCACUUCUAACCCACAUGGCUAUGAAGAUGUCAGAGAAUCCAUGAGUGUUUGUUCAGAAACCUGUUCACAUACAAAUCGGGAGAGCAGGAGCUGCUGGCAAGGCACAGUCACUCUGCACAUCUGACUCAGGGCAGGACACAGCUGGGGCUGCUUGGGUCUACACCAGAUGGAGCUUCUAGAAGCACUGUCCUUGGGAGUUCCAGGCAUCAUGAGGACUGAACGGUGAGGUAGUGCUGACCCCCUGACUCCGGCUUCUACACUUGUCAGCCAGAAGCUGGUCCCACUGCUCUCCCAGCAUCCGGGCUGACACUGGGCAGGCACGUGGGGUAAGAAGUGUGGGUGAGUCUGUGCUUCCUUCAAACAUGUGGCUUCAAAGUUCUGAGGAUGUCAUUUGGCAUGGAAGAGAGUCAGGGGCAACUGGAACCGUGGAAUUUCCAAUUAUAAAAGGUCCCAUUCAGAGCUGCAUGCCCUGUUGCACAACAAGGGAACAAGGAGACAUUUGAUGGCACUAAAAUGCCUUGAGCUCAAAACAAAGGGACACAACUUUCUCUGCUUUGUCUUCUGAAUUUUAAGGCCUGUCCUGUGUGACGGUAGGUUAUCAAAACAAGCGACAACUUAUCCCAUUCUGCCUUGGCAGAAGGCUUGCUUCUGAACACAGACCUGGAGGCAAUGCUCUCUGACCUGAGUUUCUCCAGAAGCUCAAGCGUACAUUUAAUCUGGACAGCGAAGGAUCUGAAUUAAAGAUCCAGUCAUCCGACACAGAAAUAUGAACUCUCUGAGACUCAUUUCUCUCCCUCAUUCUGAUAUCCUAUCCAUUACCAAGUCCUUAAGUACUUCUUGCACCACUCCCAUCUCCAUCCCCAUUGCGUUGCCAGUUUACUCCAUGGGUUCUGAAGUCACCUGAGAGGCACAAUCACCAAGACCAUGUCUGGAAAAAUUUCAGAACAGUCCCAAAUCACGAUGUCAUCCUGAACUGAACUUACAUUUAACAAGUUAUUCCAAUUAGCUGGAUGAACAAGAGCAUCU